GUUAAGUCCUGUGAGAUCCUGUCUCCUUUGCCAUGCCACUGCAAGGUCAUAAAGUAGAUAAACUUAAGUUACAAUUCCGGUUCUCCUCAAGAUCUGAGACAUGUUAAUUGUCUUUGUUUCUUGCUCUGGUAACAUCUUCCCACUGCACGUAUUUCCCUCCUUAAAGAGUUUAAAAUGCAAGAACCUUUGGAGUUACAUUUUGGCGAGCCAGCCAGGAGGAUCUCCAGGAAAGGCAUCUCGAUCCUCACAUGGAUCGAGGCCAUCAAGGUACAAAUGGUCUUACAAAUGGAACCUCAAAUGAGCUCAACUCACGGCAUCUACCAAGGACCCCUGGAUCGACAUACUGGUCUCUGACUAGCCUAAAAAGUUCCCCUCUGGAAGACACCACAACUGCAGGGCCCCUUCUUCGCCCCUCAUCAGCAGAAAGUAGCCAGAACGACUGCCGUCCAGUUCCCAACAGCAGUUGGGGUGUCCUGUCUAGAGGGGAGACUGAGAGGAGGUUCCAGCUGGGCUUCCUGGGUCAAGUAGGGGCUCAGAAAGCUGUGAAACUCACUCCUUUCCUGCAUCAGGACUUACUUUGGUCCUGGAUGAAUAAUAUUGAAGAUAUAUGCUUAAAAUAUUCCUAACAUCAGAAUUUGUGUGUGUGUUUUCUUCCCAAGAAAGCUAUUAACAGUGAAAAUUUUGUUGUAAACUUCCCUGUGUCCUCGCUCCCUCUCUCCCUUCCGCCCUCCAAAACUAAAAGGAAUGUUAAAAACCAGUUUUUCUGUGAUCAGCAGACCUUACCUAUGCUCCCAAUUCCAAUUCCUUGUAAACACAAUUUGUAAAAUCCUGUAAGAUCCUGUCUCCCUUGCCAUGCCGCUGCAAGGUCAUAAAGUAGAUAUACCAAUAUCUCACCUUCCAAAGGUUACUGCUAUUGUUGUAUUGGGGAUUAAGUUUCAACAUGAAUUUUGAAGGGGACACCAUUAUUUUCAAACCAGAGCAAGGGGUUCAAACCUAAAGGCCAGAGGACCAGUAUGGAGGUCAUGGAGAGAGAAUGGUGAUGAGGAUAGAUGAGAAAUAGUGGCUAUAAUGAGAUAUUGGUAUAUCAAGACAUAUUUAGGUUGUAGGAUUUGGUCACUGCUUUGAUGUGAGUUGCGGCAGAGAAAGAGGAGUUAAGAAUGUAGACCAAGUACGUGGCUUGGGCAACUGAAUGAUGAUGGUAUUAUUUUCAGAGACAGGAAACACAGAAGAGAAGCAAGUUUGGGAGGAUGGGAUAGUGGGUUCAGGAGAAGAUAAUAAAUUCAGUGUUGUAAAGCUAAAAUUGAGGUGAAAUUGGAUGUCCAAUUUUAGAAAUUCAGUAGCAGGAGAUUGGGUCUAGGGCAUGGUGCUCAGGAGAUAUUUUUUCUGGAAUAUAUAUUUCAGUAAAUAUUUGGGUAUAUAUUUGAAAUAAAAUUGAAUCAGGAGUUUGUGUGAAAUGAGAAGAGGGUAUUAAGGAACAUGGACAUUUAAAGAAUGGGCAGAGAUAAAGGAGACAAUAAAGGAGGCUGAGAAAAAGUGGG
rnacentral:lncRNA from 1 species